rnacentral:sRNA from 1 species
GUUUCAAUUCCUCAUAGGCAGGCUAUCGGCUAUUUCUCGGUAACAGACUUUUCUGUGGCCAAGAUCGG